rnacentral:tRNA from 1 species
GCGCAUGUGGUGAAAUUGGUAGACACGCAAGAUUUAGGUUCUUGUGCCGAUGAGGCGUGGGGGUUCAAGUCCCUUCAUGCGCA